UAGGGAAUUUUCGGCAAUGGGGGAAACCCUGACCGAGCGACGUCGCGUGAGGGAUGAAGGCCUUCGGGUUGUAAACCUCUGUCUUCGGGGACGAUGAUGACGGUACCCGAGGAGGAAGCCACGGCUAACUACGUGCCAGCAGCCGCGGUAAGACGUAGGUGGCGAGCGUUGUCCGGAAUUAUUGGGCGUAAAGGGCGUGUAGGCGGCCUGUCAAGUCAGACGUGAAAUCCCUGGGCUUAACCUUGGGACUGCGUUUGAUACUGAUGGGCUUGAGGACAGGAGAGGAAAGUGGAACUCCGUGUGUAGCGGUGAAAUGCUCAGAUAUACGGAAGAACACCAGUGGCGAAGGCGACUUUCUGGACUGUCCCUGACGCUGAGGCGCGAAAGCCAGGGGAGCGAACGG
rnacentral:rRNA from 1 species